UCUGGCCCCAGGAGGACGCAUGGUGAGACAGGGCCAGCGGUCCCAGCCAGAGGGACCCAAGGACCCCGCUCCACGCAGGGUCCCAGAAAUGCUUCUCCAUCUGGACUCUGAGGGAGUCUCACCCCAGAGGGUGCCCGGGAGCUCUGGGGUCAGCAGGUCGCCUGAGCGGGCGUCCUGUCCCCCAGGGACACAGGACAUGGCAGCGAGGCCUCUCCAUGGGGAGCAGGGAGGGGGAGAUAGCCUGAGAGAUCCUGCUACAAAAAGAGGAACCUCAGGAGGUUGAUAAGAAAACCCCAAGGGGAAGGGUCCGUGCUCGAGACGGCCAGCGGGCUGGGUUGGAACGCUUCCUGUCCCCCGCGAUGAUAACAGCCAGCUGGCCACGCGGUGCAGAGGGAGACGCGCUGAUAGAUUAUUUCUCGAGACGCCGCUUACACAAGGGCACACGCAGACCGACAGAGUGCGGAGGGACAGACUGUCGGGCUUUCUCAUUCUCGCUGCCGAAGUCCGGCCUCCGGGGAGACAGUGGGCCCCCGGCGGACCCCUGCUCCCUGCCAUCGCCCUACAGAGGUGACCGCCGCCCACCCCACGCACCGGCCUUCAAGGGGUCCCGGAAAGAGUCCAGAAGGACCCACGAAGUCGCCUGACCGGUCCAGCUGCGGGGCAGCAGCAUGGCAGUCCUGUUAGUUUUCAUAAGCCUCCUCCUGGUGCCUCUGAACCCAGCAUGCUUCACAGACCCAGCACAGGAGAAGGUAUCUCCUAUUAUAAACCUGAAGCUAGAUUCAAGGAAAAAAAUGUUAACCUGGAAUUCCAGGAGAAACGUGACUUGGCAAGAAUGUACAAUAGACGCCCCACUUGACCCUCCCAUCAGCCAAACCCCACAGGUGAGUGCUCACAGCUCCUGCCCUGUGAUUUUGCUCUUUGUAACUCUUGAAUUUCCCUGCAAAAUGCCUCCUGAGUUUCCCUCUCUGACUAUUCCUGUUGGAGAGGGAAAAAAAAUUCCCUCCAUCUUCUUAGGUGCUGUGAAAGGGACAUGCAAAUUAAGUAGGCAAAAGCCAGAUUAACAGGAGAAAAAGCAUCUAGUGUUGUUCAUAUUUUUAAUUUUUAUGUACACAAAGCUUCACAGGAAAGAAGUAAAAACCCAAAGAGGGGGUCAGACUGGGAAAUUUAUGUGCCCUUUUAACAAAUUGUGGAGAAGUGAUUAGACAAAAGAGAGGAGAUUUGGGCUUCGGAGGCUGAUAGAUUUGUGGGGACACGACUAGGAAUAUAUGGGGAAUUGAUGGAAAAUAAAGGUUAUUUUAUAAGCUCUGUGUAGGCAGCCUCAUCUCGGGACCGGUUCUCCACCUCAGCGGUAAAGGUCACUCUCCUCAAUCUGACACAGGAGAGAGGGAGUGUUUGUGCCACCUUCACAAAGGGGAAUCAGUGCCUGCUUUUGAGCAGGUCAGGGGAGGCAAGAACUCUUUCUGCCCCUCAACUGCCUUCACCUCAAAAUAAUCCUUAUGCAAAGUGCCAUCUUUUAGGGUCACAAAUCCAAGUAUGGGGUGGUCCUCUUCAUUCUACUUCUGUAGACCCAGGUUGGGGGGGGUAGGGAAGGCAGGUAAAAUUUGCACAUUAACUCUUUUGUAUGAGAACGAAUACAAUGGCUGUCUUUUCUGCACCUGAUUUUAUUUUGAUUUCUCGCCUUCCAGAAGGGAGGAUGGGGAAGGAUGUGAAUUUGCCAAAUUAAAUGGACUUCCCCCUCCUUCAACUUUAAAACAGUUUCCUGGAUUCGUCCUGUCUCAUUGGGCUCCAUGCAUUCACUCAUCACCUAGUUCACAUACUUCUGCUUCUCUUGUUUGGUUUUGAGGAUGUCAAGGAGGAAAGACUUGUCCUCUAUACUGUUGUGUUCUCCUCCUGGGGGCCUGCGAAUUAAACUAAUCAAAGAUUCACAGGAGGAGGGGGCACAAAAAGUGUGUCCUUAUGCAUCUGGAAGCUUACAAAAGAAGUUGCUUGAUAAAUGGUUGAAGUUAGGGACUUCUAAAUCUAACUAGGAGGGAAAAGGGAGGAGGGAGACUAGGUCUACAUGGGAAGAAAAUGAGUUUCUAGAAGACUGAAAUGAACGGGAGCUAAGAAAUCUUGUGAGAAUGUUUGUUCAUGGAGAUGUGAGUGGACUUUCAUUCUUCUUCAUGGCCAUCAAAGUGCCCCCAAGAGGAGAUUUAUGGUAGGUUCACCCUCAGUCUCCUUCAUGGGAUAAAAGCCACACCAAAGAGAUUUAUGGCUGUCUCAUUUUCCAGAAGUUUCUGCUUUUAGGCAGAUAAGAAAAGGUCCAGGAGGCUUCCUUCUGCACCUGUUGAAUCCAAAUAGUUUCAGUUUAAGAUAAUUUUAAUCUUUUUUGGGGGGGGUAAUUAGGUUUAUUUAUUUAUUUAUUCUUACAGGAGGUACUGGGGAUCGAACCCAGGACCUCGUGCAUGCUAAGCAUGCUCUCUACCACUUCAGCUCUAUCCUGUCCCAGCUUCAGAUAAUUUUGACACCAAUUCUGGGGUUCCCAGUGGGUCUGCACAGGAGGUGGGUGAUGCCCUGGGCAGGGGGAUCCAUCAGUGUCUGCAGAAUAGCACGGGUAAGAAUCCUGCCCCUCCUCCCCCCGCUGGGGCGCUUUUAGCCCCUCAUCCCACAGUUCCCACUGUGGAAAUGAGGACUUUGAGAGACCCCUAUUGGGUGGUGCUUCAAACUGGUCAAUGCCACAAUGUGGAGACUCAAACAUCCCUAGGAAAAGGUCAUAGGACAGAAUCAAACUGUGGGCUGUGUUCAUGAACCCCCCACACAGAUGCAUUUUUUCUGAUUUUGCUCGCUUCGAGGUCCCGAGAACAGCUCUGGCAGACAAGCCUCUGUAGGGGAAGGAAACAGCCUUUUCUCCCCACCGUCUACACAUCUUGGGUUUCCUGGUUGGGGCCCUGCACGUUAACAAAAGACAGAGUAACACAAGGAAAACCAAAAGAAUGUUUGUUAACAGGUGCACGGGCAGGAGCACUCAGACGUGAGUCACCCCAAGGAAAGGGCUGGUUAAGCACGGACAUGUUUAAAAUCCUAACAGGAGGACGAGGACUCUGUAGAGAGAUGUCAGGAUGAAAGAAAACGACUUUGAGGUUUUAGGGUGGGAAAUGUCUAGGCUGAUUUUCUCUGGAGAUGAACUUAUGUAGGGGGGGAUCCCCUUUGCAAAUGUGUGUCCUCCUUUUACG